UCCGGUGUCGUUCAACGGCAGGACAGGUGGCUGUUAACCACCCGAUCGAGGUUCGAGUCCUCGCACCGGAGC
rnacentral:tRNA from 1 species